GUUUUUGUAGUGUAGCGGUUAUCACGCUCGCCUCACACGCGAGAGGUCCUCGGUUCAAAACCCAGUGGAAACA